CGGGAUUCCCUGAGUAGGGGCGACUGAAACGGGACCUAGCCCAGCGCAUAACCUCGCGGCUCGAACAGAGCUGUCGAGGGGUGUUGCGUAUCGGUGGCUCCGUCCCGCUCGUGCUGUGCCGCCUAAGUUACCGUUUGAGUGCAGCUCCAAGGAGGGUGGAAGACCCGUGUGGCGGCGCCCGCGAGGGCUCAUACAGUGCGGGCGGAGGGAGCGCUUCACCGGAGAGUCGGGUUGCUUAAUACUGCAGCCCUAAGAGAGGUGGUAAACUCCAUCUAAGGCUAAAUACUCCCACGAGUCCGAUAGCUAACAAGUACCGUGAGGGAAAGUUGAAAAGAACUUUGAAGAGAGAGUUCAUAAGAAUGUGAAGCCGCUAGGAGCUUAAACGGGUGGAACUGCGAAGGACGAACGAGGGUAUUCACCUCGUCGGAGGGACGGGACUGGGGUGUUUCAAAUGGCCGGCGCCAAGACCAAACCAAAGUGAGCGCAGGAACACCCCUGACCGUCCGACAGACAGGUCCCUCCGGCGGGCGUACUUGUCCCCUCCAGUAGUGUGACGCAGCGAGCCAUCUGCCAGGAGCCAGGAGGGCCGGUAUGUCGUGUCCGGACUGGUACCCUCAGUCAGGAGGGGAAACCGGCACGUGCUGCACGAUGACUGGCUCCGGAGAUGGCGCACUCCCAGGGGGCUGGCCAAAAGCCUCUCGCUGUGAAGUAGCGGUGAUCCACCUGACCCGUCUUGAAACACGGACCAAGGAGUCUAACCUGUGCGCGAGUCUAAGGGUGUGGCGAGACCCGGAGGCGCAAUGAAAGUGAGCGAAUUUGUUCCACAAGUUCUAUGCUGGCCGAUCCCUGGCUUUUGUCAGGGCGCAGGCCGAGGACUCGCCGCUCGGCGGCUGCCUGCUCCGGCCUACCCUAAGCCCUUCACGGGGCCGGGUGGGCUGGGCUGGGCGGUCCGCUGGCGAGUACCUUGAGAGCGCACACGUUGGGACCCGAAAGAUGGUGAACUAUGCCUGGCCAGGACGAAGCCAGAGGAAACUCUGGUGGAGGUCCGAACCAGUUCUGACGUGCAAAUCGAUUGUCAGAGCUGGGUAUAGGGGCGAAAGACUAAUCGAACCA
rnacentral:rRNA from 1 species